AUGGGUUUGCCUGGGUGGGGGUCCCUGGGUCACUGGUUUGCCUGGGCGGGGAUCUUUGGGUCAUGGGUUUGUUUGCCUGGCGGGGGUCUCUGGCUCAUGGGUUUGCCUGGGUCAUGGGUUUGCCCGGGUCAUGGGUUUGCCCGGGUGGGGGUCUCUGGGUCAUGGGUUUGCCCGGGUGGGGGUCUCUGGGUGUGCCUGGGCGGGGGCUGUAACAGCAGAACUGUCUUCAAUGGCCCACUAUUCACUACAGGACACUACUUCAAUGGCGCCCUAUUCACUACAGGACACUACUUCAAUGGCGCCCUAUUCACUACAGGACACUACUUCAAUGGCCCCCUAUUCACUACAGGACACUAGUGGCCAGGGCCUGUAGACGGACCGUUUCAGGACAGAUCCAGGAACAUUGGAACAGGCGGAUGGAGAAGCAAACCACUGAUCUGAUUAGUAUCUUGGUCAGAAUGACUGGAUUGACCAACAUGUGGCUCUGAUAUGGAACCCUAUUCCCUAUAUAGUGCUCUGCUUUUUGACGCUGUAGUGCCUUAUCUAGGGAAUAGGG
rnacentral:lncRNA from 13 species